UUUCCGUAGGUGAACCUGCGGAAGGAUCAUUAUUGAAUUCGCCUUUGAAGUUGUUGCUGGCCCCUUAGGGGUAUGUGCACACUUCAUAAGUCAUUUCAACCACCUGUGCACCUUUUGUAGUCUUGGGUGACGCUCCUAUCAAAGGAAACUUUGGAUUUGAAUGCUGCAGGCGCAAGUCCGCUUCAUUCUACAGCUGAUCCCGGGUCUAUACUUUAUACACCCUAUUUAUGUCCUAGAAUGUGAUUCAGGGGCUUCAAUGCCUUUAAAAUCUAUACAACUUUCAGCAACGGAUCUCUUGGCUCUCGCAUCGAUGAAGAACGCAGCGAAAUGCGAUAAGUAAUGUGAAUUGCAGAAUUCAGUGAAUCAUCGAAUCUUUGAACGCACCUUGCGCCCUUUGGUAUUCCGAAGGGCAUGCCUGUUUGAGUGUCAUUAAAUUCUCAACCUUGAAAGGCUCUUGUAGUCUUCCAAGGCUUGGAUAUGGGGGUUGCGGGCUUUAACAAGUCGGCUCCUCUUAAAUGUAUUAGCUGGGUUUGCGCCUUCAGCCUAUUGGUGUGAUAAUUAUCUACGCCUCUUGGGUCGUUUGCGUGUUUAUCUUUCUAGCUUCUAAUCGUCCGCAAGGACAACACUUGACCAUUUGACCUCAAAUCAGGUAGGACUACCCGCUGAACUUAA
rnacentral:rRNA from 1 species